GGAUGAACGCUGGCGGCGUGCUUAACACAUGCAAGUCGAACGGGGUUAUGAAGUGUGAGGAGUCAGCUUGCUGGUGACGAACAGUUCAUAACUUAGUGGCGGACGGGUGAGUAACGCGUGGGUAACCUGCCAUAUACAGGGGGAUAACACUUAGAAAUAGGUGCUAAUACCGCAUAAGCGCACGGAGCUGCAUGGCUCAGUGUGAAAAACUCCGGUGGUAUAUGAUGGACCCGCGUCUGAUUAGCUUGUUGGCGGGGUAACGGCCACCAAGGCGACGAUCAGUAGCCGGCCUGAGAGGGUGGACGGCCACAUUGGGACUGAGACACGGCCCAAACUCCUACGGGAGGCAGCAGUGGGAAUAUUGGACAAUGGGGGAAACCCUGAUGCAGCGACGCCGCGUGAGUGAAGGAGCGUUUCGGCGCGUAAAGCUCUAUCAGCAGGGAAGACAAACUGCCCCGGAAGGGGCAGCCGGACGGUACCUGACCAAGAAGCCCCGGCUAACUACGUG
rnacentral:rRNA from 1 species